GUCGGGAAUAUUGCGCAAUGGAGGAAACUCUGACGCAGUGACGCCGCGUAUAGGAAGAAGGUUUUCGGAUUGUAAACUAUUGUCGUUAGGGAAGAAAAAAGACAGUACCUAAGGAGGAAGCUCCGGCUAACUACGUGCCAGCAGCCGCGGUAAUACGUAGGGAGCGAGCGUUAUCCGGAUUUAUUGGGUGUAAAGGGUGCGUAGACGGGCAAGCAAGUUAGUUGUGAAAUCCCUCGGCUUAACUGAGGAACUGCAACUAAAACUGCUAGUCUUGAGUGCAGGAGAGGUAAGUGGAAUUCCUAGUGUAGCGGUGAAAUGCGUAGAUAUUAGGAGGAACACCAGUGGCGAAGGCGACUUACUGGACUGUAACUGACGUUGAGGCACGAAAGUGUGGGGAGCAAACAGGAUUAGAAACCCGGGUAGUCC
rnacentral:rRNA from 1 species